GGACUACUCGGGUAUCUAAUCCUGUUUGCUCCCCACGCUUUCGCGUCUCAGCGUCAGUGUCCGUCCAGGUCGCCGCCUUCGCCACUGGUGUUCCUCCCGAUAUCUACGAAUUUCACCUCUACACCGGGAAUUCCGCGACCCUCUCCGGCACUCAAGCUCGUCAGUUUCGCGCGCACUUCCCAGGUUAAGCCUGGGGAUUUCACACGCGACUUGACGUGCCGCCUACAAGCGCUUUACGCCCAAUAAUUCCGAACAACGCUCGCACCCUCUGUAUUACCGCGGCUGCUGGCAC
rnacentral:rRNA from 1 species